rnacentral:pre_miRNA from 1 species
AUGUAGGGCAAUCUGUCUUUAUGUGGGAGUCAAUUACUCUUUAAAAGAAAAAGAAUCCUAGAUGGUUUUGCCUUUAAGUCAGGUGUCUUGU